UCNCUCAGGUAACUCUGCUAUGAAUCUGGU
rnacentral:piRNA from 1 species